rnacentral:rRNA from 1 species
AGAGUUUGAUUAUGGCUCAGGGUGAACGCUAGCUACAGGCCUAACACAUGCAAGUCGAGGGGCAGCAUGGAGAAAGCUUGCUUUCUCUGAUGGCGACCGGCGAAUGGGUGAGUCACGCGUGUCCAACCUGCCCCCCGCCCGGGGAUAGCCCUUGGAAAUGAGGAUUAAGACCCGAUAUGUGGCGCCUCCGCAUGGCGGCGCCAUGAAGCAGGCAGGGGAUGGGGACGCGUCGGAUUAGCUGGACGGCGGGGCAAAGGCCCACCGUGGCGACGAUCCGCAGGGGUUCUGAGAGGAAGGUCCCCCACACUGGCACUGAGACACGGGCCAGACUCCUACGGGAGGCAGCAGUGAGGAAUAUUGGUCAAUGGCCGCGAGGCUGAACCAGACCCAAGUAGCGUGCAGGACGACGGCCCUACGGGUUGUAAACUGCUUUUUCGGGAGGAUAAAGGACGUCACGUGUGGCGUUUUGCAGGUAUCCCGUGAAUAAGGACCGGCUAAUUCCGUGCCAGCCGCCGC